rnacentral:misc_RNA from 1 species
CCAACACCAAGAACCAGAGCAGGGGAAGAAGUGAUUCGCUGCGCGAUUGCUUGUUCGCAAGGUCGAUUAUCGACUCUGAGUGUGUACAGGCAGUGCGGGAGAGAGGUCGGUAGCUCAUUGAAGAAGCCGCAAGCGCGGGGGAGCCGGAGACGACGAGAUUUUCUCUCCGGAAAUUUGUGCCUCCGCAGCUCCGUUUGGGUGGACCGACGACCAUUUCACCACCUUAGCCCCGAAGAGCCAGUGGCUGAGGAGUCGAGUGUUCAGCAAGUAGAAGUUGCUGAGCAGGAGCUCAUUGAAGGAGAAGAACAGGUGGUCCAGGAGGAGCCGUACAAUGAGGAGUACGAGUUGAUCUAGGUGGCGUCUCCCAGUCAGCUUUAUGGUGCCAAGGAUGGACGUUUAGUUUGCUUUAUUAUUAUCAUUUAUUUUUGUAGGACUUUCGCUAUGUAAUAAUGAUAUUUAUGAUAUUUGUG